UACGGAGGGUGCAAGCGUUAUCCGGAUUCACUGGGUUUAAAGGGUGCGUAGGUGGGUCUGUAAGUCCGUGGUGAAAUCUCCAAGCUUAACUUGGAAACUGCCAUGGAUACUAUAGGUCUUGAAUACCGUGGAGGUGAGCGGAAUAUGUCAUGUAGCGGUGAAAUGCUUAGAUAUGACAUAGAACACCAAAUUGCGAAGGCAGCUCACUACACGAAUAUUGACACUGAGGCACGAAAGCGUGGGGAGCGAACAGG
rnacentral:rRNA from 1 species